rnacentral:lncRNA from 1 species
AGCGAACAUGGUAGUCUGUUUUCAUGAUUGAGUUGGGGAGGGUAGUGGAUGGGAUUUUUUCCCCCUAUGCAAUUCUGAAUGUUCUUUCAGGAAUAAUUCUCAUAAGAGCUUCUUUCUCAGGUUCUCCAUAGGUUCCUAUGUGCAAGUUUGGAUAUGGAUGCCCAGAACAUCUUCUAGUCUGACUAUCAGAUGGCAUCAAGUCUGCAAAGGUACAGGGAAGACGUUCUGCAUAAAUGAAAAAGAAUCUGGAGUUCUUCAAAGUGGAGAAGAUCAAAGAAGCAAUCCGGGAAGGGACAGGGAGAGAGGAGAAAUGGAAAAAUGGAAAGAUGGUAAGGCUAUUUGUGAGGUGACCAUAUGAGUCCCACAUUUUGUUGAAAAAUGCAAUGUGGCUGGUGGGAGUCCAUUUCUUAUGAAGGCCUAAUCAUGAUGAUGGAAAGGGGUGGAGAAAAUAAAGACAGCACCUGCAGAUGAGGUUUUUGGACUCUGAGAGGAGCCUAGACCAGGACCUGCAGAAGCACUGUGGGAGAAGGGAAGACACCCAUGUGUUCAUGACAAUUGCCCCCAGAUCUCCAAGGGCAAUGGGAUUCCAGGUGACAACUACUUACACCUCCUCUUGGCUGUCCACAGCAGCCUUCACACUGCCAUUUGUUCUUCCUGAGCGGCGUCUGAGAAGGGUUGGUGAUAUGGUUAGAAUGUGGAACCAGACAGAACAGAGGAUUAAUGACCUGCAGUGUAGAUAUCAAACAAAUCAUCACAGUGUCACGUUUAUAUUUACCAAACCAAGGCAAGUACCGUGAAGGGAAGGGGUGUGGUUCGAUGAGAGCAGAUGUCAAAAGAAUUCAUGGUGGGCAAAGUGAUCAGAGUAUUUCUUCAUGAAACAAUGAUGCUUUGGUUGGGAUCAAGAGGAAGGUGGGGGUGGGUGUCAUGAUGUGGAACUUGGACUUCAUUUCAAGGUCACUGGGAAAUUAUUGAAAGUUUCUAGACAGAGGCUGAGAAGGUAACUCUGCAGCAGAGAGAGCAGUUACAGGGCUCAGAGUAGAUGUGGGGAGACUAAUUAGGAGUCCCUUCUUAAGUCCACAGAAGGCUGCUAAUGGUCUGGAUCCCAGCUGUAGCAGCAGAGGGGAACAUAAUUAAGUUUGAGGGAUAUUUGGGAGGUAAAACUGGACAAACCUGGUGCUAGGUCCAGUGGUGAAGGCGGGGAUCGGGGGUGAAGAUGAUUUUCCCAGGUUUCUGGCUAGCAUCAUUCUCCAAUUCAGUUGCAAAGCAGGUAUGAACCUAAGACCUGAUGGUUCACCUCUCCUGUUACACUGCCUACAGUUAGAGGUUCAAAAUAGGCAAGCCAGCUAUAGUUAGAAAGAAAGAGGGAACCUUUACCAGGCACAUUUGAGCCCUUUAUGCAUGCUAGCUAACAGCCACUGAACUUCCUAUCCCAACACCUGCCAUUAAAGUCAAGAUAAGGUAAUGAUAAUGUGCUUCAGAGGGAUUUCCUCAGAGCCUCAGAAUUUCUAGCUAACCAAAGAGAGACCUUCAUUCUGCUUGGCCACAACCUAGUUCCAGGCUGUGAUGGCUUUGAAGUCCAGCCCCAUACCAUCCAGGAAGGUACUAAUAUUUGUUUACAUGGGGUCUUAGUUGGUUUUCUGUUGCUGUAAGAGAACACCUGAAACUAUAUGAUUUAUAGACAGUACAGGUUUAUAUUGGCUCAUAAUUUUGGAAGUUAUGAAGUCCAAAAGUAUAGUCCUGGCAUCUGAAUUCACUUCCACAAGAAUUAACCCAGUAGCUGGAGAGCGGUAUCAACACUUCUGAAUGACCUGAUCACCUCUUAAAGAUCCUACCUCCUAAAUCACUACAAAGGCAAUCAAAUUUCAACAUGAGCUUCAGAGACUAUAACCCUAUUCAGACCACAGCACGUGACCUUUUAAUGGUGUUAUUCUCUGUCUUCUGAAAGAUGCUCUAGCGGAGAAAGGGAAGUUGGCACCCAGUUUGCAUUCUCUCUCCCUCUCUCUCUCUCUUUCUCUCUCUCUUUCUUGAUAUUAAAAUCUUCUCCCAGUCCACAAGAGAAAAUCUGGCUCUGAUCCCUAAUGCUUCUGCUGCAGACCCUCUCAGGAUAUUCUCUUCAGGGGACACAGACAGAGAUGUGUGAGUUAAGGGAAAGUGAAUGUGGUACUAAGUUACCAACAGUUUGCAUCUGUUUUAGAAAACCACUUCCAUGCCCUGUCAGUGUCCCUGUCUGCAAAAUGGAGACCAUCCUCUGUGCCUGACAGCAUUGCUCUAAGGUACAAUAGAGUUGGCCUCAUUUAUCGUACCCUUCUUCCUGAAAUAUUUUCCUGACUUGACUUCCGGGAGCCAUUACCCUGCUGAUAUUCCUCCUUGAUCACUGGCCACUACUUCUAAAUCUUCUCGGCUGACUCCUACUUUCCUUCUUAACCUUUAAAAUUGGACUUUCCCUCAGGCCAAGUCCUUGAGUUGCUGUUCUUCUCUCUCCUCGCCUACUCCCUGACUGAUUCGGUCAAGGCCUACAGCUUUAAACAUUUUUUAUUUCAUGGUCCAUAUCUGUGUGGUCUUGCUACCUCCACUAAUUGCUCAGUUCCUUUCCUCCUUCAUCUCCAUUUACAUAUUAAACUAAAUAUAUCUAAGUCUGAGUGAGCCCUUAAUUUCCUGCCAUCCGUCUUGCCUCUGGUUUCUCACUUUGUUCAGAACACCACUUGCUUAGUUUUACUGAGACCCAACACCUAGGGGUGGUCCAUGCUCCUCUCUUUCCUUCAUCACCCAUGAGCAGACCACGAACAGUCACUAGAAAGUCUACCCUCAAGGCACAUCCGAAACCCAGUCUGUCCUUCUGACCUCCACCAGUGGAGGUCUGUCCCAUGGACCAGAAUUGUCUUUGUUGGGUCUCUGCAAUGGCCUCCUAAAUGAUCUCUCUAUCCACCCCUGCAUGCUGUCAAUCCUCAUCCAGAAGUCAGAGCUUUCAUCCUACAACAUUAACCAGAUUAUGUCACUGUCUGCCCUUCACCCUGCAAGCCAUCUCAUCCUAUCAAAUCAACUCGGUCGCCUAUGGCCUUGGAGGCCCUCAGCCCACCCCUCCAGUCCCACCACCUAUUCUCCUUCCCUCACUCAUCCAGCUCAGCUGCACUGGUCUCCUUGAUGUCUCUUGAAGGUGUAGCACCCUGUGCCUGGGCUCCCCACAAGGUGCAUGAAGAUGCCCCAGUGGGCACAGCUGCCUCUCCGCUUCAUGGUGAUUUCUACUUUGGCAUUACUUUCUCCAAGAGUCCUUCUCUAUCACUUCCAGUUCUCUCCCUCUUUUCUGCCCUACUCUGCUUUGUUUUUCUUUGGUGCACACAUCACUAUCUGAAAUGAUUAUUCUUAAUCCUUUGGAUUUGGGUUAGUCUCCCUAUAGAAAUAUUAGGUAAUGAGGGCAGGGACUGUGCCCAUCUCAUCCACUGCUAUUUUUCCAGCUUGUCAUAGGUGCUCAGCAAACAUUUGUCUAAUGGCUACACAGGAGAGUGAGUGAGUGAGUGAAUGGAUGCCUAUUUCUCUUUUAAAGACACAAAGGAAGGAAAUACCUGUGGGACCAAAGAGAGUUCUCUGCCUCAGUUUGGGAGCAAGUUGAGAGAGAUUGGCAUGGACAGAAAGGGAAGACGGUGAAGAAAAAAGCAAGUGGUAAUUAAAAAGACAAAAAGGACUUCAAGUGCCUUGUUGAAAAAAAAAAAGAGGGUGAAGCAAGAAUAAAGAAUAAGGAUAUUGUGCUUAAAUACUUCCUGAGACCACACAAAUCCUGAAGUGUGAAUGCAUAUAAUGUAAUCAGGAGAAAGAGGUUCUAAAAGAGUAAAACACAUUAUGAGAAGCAGAGAUGGGGAAAAAAAUAAAUAAAAAUGUGACUCUAUUGUGUUUACAAAAAGCUACGGUGUCCUUAACUGAAUGUUUGUGUAAAUGGUUUUGGUUUAUCCUGGUGGUGGGAAAGGAACUGCAAAUAGCCUAUGUACACUAUGGAAAUCUAUUUUGCAAUUCUUGAAAAGCCCACGAGAAGCGAAUGCAAUAAUGGAUGUGGAAGUAUAAAGAGUUCUGCAAAUGAAAAAAAAAAGGGGGGGGGGGUAUUGUCAGGAGAAGAAUACAGAGGAUGUGAGAGUUAACUUUGGGGAGCCUGCUCAGAAUUCUAAGUGGCCUCAAAUCCAGGACUGAGAGCAAACCCUGAACUCUGGUUGUCACAAAAUUGAGGCAGCCCGUGAUGACUUGCCAAUGUACUCAAUACUAGUGGCAGGCAUGACAAGGAAGAGAGAGAGAGAGAGAGAUAUAACCCUUGGAGAAUGAAGAGCCCUUCAGGAUGCACAAAGCUAAUAUAGCUUUAAUAGGAAUAUUUCUUCAGACCGUCUUACCUAUCCAGAAGCUUCCUCUUUUGCAAUAUUGAUUGUGAGCCAGGCAGAGGAGCAGAUGCAAAGGUCAUUGCAGGGAUGUGACUUAGAAUGUCCCUGAACAGGGAUACUGAUUCCUGUUCCUCAUCAACCAGCAGUUGAUAAUAUGAUUCUUCCCCCAAUUAAAGAUAAUGACAACUUCCACCAGGAAAAAAAAAAAAAGACAACUGCCCUUGACCUGUGCACCCUCCUUGUCGACCACAGGAAAAAGCAUACUUUCCAAUUUCUCCUUCAAGUUUUGGCACUGAAUUCUGAAAGUCAGAUCCUGCAGCCCUGCUGAUAGCCUGAGAGUGCAAUAGCAGUGGUCAAGUCGCUUUGAAGGUAUGAGUUCCUGCAAUGCAAAAAUCCAUGGUCCAUUGCCCUUGUCCAUCCUGUGUGUCUUUAUAGUACAGACACACAGAGAUCUGCACAGAGAUCUGGGCCAGAUUGCUGAUGCUCCCAUGCUGGAUGGAGGGAUCCACGCUUUUCUCUCCACCAGUGAGGUUAAAGGGUUAGAUACUGCUCUCUGCCUGGGAUUAAUGUUGGGACAACCAAAGAAAGUCCAGCCUCUGCCAUGUGUUAGUACCUUUCUUACCCCUGAAUCUUGGAAGCCAUGCUCUGGGAAGCCUGUCUCACCCAGACAUGGAAUCAUGGCCUUCCAAAUCCCCAGACACACACACACCUACUUCCUGUAGUUCUGCAGCCUCAACCUCCCACCUGCCAGAAGAGGCUAGAACUCAGAGGCUGAACCUCCUUAGAGAAGCAUGAGGUGAACUUUUGUCCUCAUACAAACUCUAGAUGAAUGUUACAGGCACAUCCCAUCAUACGCCUUUUUCCCAAGCCUAUUUCAGACCCAUUUCCAGAAUGAGUAAAUGAAAUUCCACUUGGUUCUGAGAUAUUGACAACUUCUGUGCUUUCCAUCUCAAGAAAUGCAAGAUUCCCUGAGUAACUGGGGAGAAAACAUCAAUGGACCAUAGGAAGAUGCCCCUUUGUCUGUAUGCUAGGAUUCUCCUGGAGACAUAAUCAGAAAUUUCCCCAAUGGUGCAAAAAUAGCUACUCUUAGCCCAAAGGGAAGAUUAUAUUGCUACUUCAAUAUCUUGCUUAUAUUGCUAUAUUGAUGGUUAAGGUAGAUGAAAGGAAGAAGCAUGUGGGAAUCUGUCCCUUUCACAAGUCUCAGUGCUUUGGAGCUUGUAUCAGUCAGAAAAGGUUAGAUUUAUGCUGCAAUAAUAACUGAACCCUAAUAUUUUAAUGGGUUCAAACCAUUAAAGUGUACUCCUUUAUCCAUGCAGUCUUUCCACUAAGGAUGGCAGAGGGCUAGUUUAUUAAAGUCACUCAGGCACUCAGGCUGAUGGAGGAGCCACCAGAUUGAGCAUUGUGGACCACCAUAUCAGAAGGGAAAAUGUAUCUAGAGGGUAUUAAAUCAGCAAUUAAAUACUCCAGUCUAAAAUUGACACAUGUCACUUGUGUUCUUAGCCCUCUUAUCAGAACUAGUCAUUUGAAUGUAUGAAUCACAAAUGGGCCAGGCAGGAAGCAAAAUUCUACUCUGCUCUAGAAGUGAAAAAAAGCAUAUGCUGUUUUUGCAAAUAGCACUAGUGCUUUAAAAAAAAAAAAAAAAAAGCACUAUUUUGCAAAUAGCACGAAUACCAACCUUCAAGUAUCUGGAUUAGAAAACCAGCUACCGAGGGCCCAGUUUUCCAGGAAAGACAUACAACACUCUUGGCUAGAAUCUCCAAAGCAGUUCUUCCUCCUUUUUUAUAAAGCUGAAGCCAGGAGAGACACUUUGAUGAUUCAAUGGGAGGGCCAAAGAUAAUGCAGUAACUAAAGGGUCCUGAGGAGGAAAGAUUUUGUUAUCCUCUCGUGAUAUUUUUUGAGCAACAACAUUUACCAUGACGGUGGCUUCUGGAAGCAUGACAUUCAAAUAUUUAUUGAUUCUGUAAUGUGUUGGACCGGACCCAAGAGAUGUUCAGAGCCAGGAGCAGAGCCAGGGUGGCCAGCUGUGCUACUUAAAGUGGGGCUGACAGAUGCCCCAGAACCCAGACUACCAAAGGCAAGGGCAAAACACUCUCAUCCCUAUAGGACACACGUGAAGACUAAAAGUUCAUCCCUUCCCCCAGGAAAAGCCAGGCUGCAGGCUGCAUUGAUCCAGGAGGAAGAGCCCCGAGAUGAGCUCUCCUCUUGUUUUUUCUUCAAAUUCACAUCAAGUGUUUCUUUACUUGCUCACUUUUCAGUUGUGUGAUGAAUGUCUGGUAACGGGUACAAAGCCUGCUAUCUAGUCCCUCCCCAGCACACACAUUUCCAGAGCCAGUGUACACUUGAUAACUCCAAUCUGCCUCCAUGCACCCACUUUCUGAAAUCCUCCACAGAACCUCCCAGAGACCAGAUCCUAAUCCUAGCAAAAGCUCCGUGAUUAUCUUUUUUUUUUUUUUUUUUUGAGCCUGUGCCAAAUACCAAGGGAAAUAAAAGUCUAAAUGUAGCAAUGACAUAGAGUGGUCUCAUGUUCUGAAGCCAGGCUGGUUUUGAAGGGGAAAACCAGGAGCUCUGGAGAACACAGGAUGCUGCAGGAAGGGUUUUUAGGAUCUCACUUGAGUCAAGGGUGAAAGACCUCUUGAAGGACAGGCUGGCAUGGGCCAAAAGCAGCACAAGGACUUAAAAGUGGCCUAAAAAGGGGCUCACAUAAGAAGAAACUGGCAUCACUGAAUGGACCCCUGAGAACCAUGCCAAAAUUAGCCUAGCCACCUUGCCUAGCCCAAAACCACUCAGCCAGUUGUUGGGAAAACAGUCAAAGCCUCAGGAAUCCUGGCCCAAUGCCCUUUGCUCUGCAUGCCACAUGGCUGCAAAUUCCAGGUAACCAGGGCACAGCUAAGCUAUCCCUGGAUCAAGAGAAAAGCAGUUGAGAGAUCAUUGCUCCAAUUCUCAAGGAUUCUAAAGAAAAAGACUAUGGCUGCCCCGGAGCUUCCACGGAGGAACAAAGGUAAAAUGAUCAUUAUUUCUUUCGUACAAUUAAUUCUACCUUGAUUUUAUCAUUCAGUCCUUUAGAGAGCUUCAGUUGAAAUUCAAGUUAGUUCAAUCAUAAUUUUUCGACCUUGAAAACUUUCCUGUCUCUGUACUCUGUAAAAACUCUUUGAGUUGCAAGUGACACAGGAAAGUCAAAUUGGAUUAAGGAGGGGAAAAUACACCAAUCAUUGGCUGUAUUAUUCCAUUUUGCAUCGCUCUACAAAAUACCGGAGGCUGAGUAAUUUAUAAAGAAAAGAGGCUUAUUUAGAUUAGAGUUUGGAGGCUGAAAAUCCAAAUAAGCAUGGUGCCAGGUCUGGUGAGGGCCCCUAACCCUGGUUGUGUCACACUAGGAUGGAUGGCAUGAUGGGAGGAGCAUAUGGGAGAGGGAGAGAUUUCAUGGUGAGACGUAAAGCCAGAGAACAGGGAGGAGUGAGUCAUAUUUUCCUUUAUAACAACCUUGUUUCAAAACCUAACUGGAAUUCCACAGAACAUUAAUGGUUCCAAGAGCAGUGAUCCAAUGACCUAAUCACCUUCCACUAGGUCCCACCUCUUAUAGAUUCCACCACUUUCCAUCACUACCAAUUGGGAAGCCAUAGGAAACAUACUCAAACCAAAUCCAAACUAUAGCAUUGGCCAAAUCACUGAAAAGUCAGAGGGUAAAGCAGAAUCCAGGCAUCAACUCCACUACUGACAUCACAUCUCUCUUGCUCUUUCCCUCUCAUUCUCCUGUUUUCCUUCACUGGCAUGGAGCUGAAUCUUCUCAUGAAGCUGCUGACAGGGACCAGAACUCAUUUUACAUCCUAGUACCACCAGCAGAAAGACAGCUAUUCAGAAAAUGUCACCCACCGUUGCUUCUCCUUGGCCCAGCCCAGAUCAUUUUCUUAUCUCAAGCCAACAACUACCCUCAGACAAUGCAGUUGAGCAGCUCCCCAUACCCCAGAGCUGGGUGGUGACAGCUCAUCCUCCCUGGAAUAGCAAGGAUUAAGAACGCCAGGGAAUUAUCCCUAAAGAAAACAGGAAGCUAUUGUUCGUGGGAGAAUGAAUGGUCAAGCAGGCAGAAAUGACCAUCACUCACUCCAAACACCUGCUAAUCCUCCAUAGAACUCGUUUUGGAAAUGCUGUGCUGCAUCUUGCUGUCUCCCUAAGCAGACAUCAAUUCCUGCUAUUAAAUGGUUGUUUCGUUUAAUUUGGUGAGUUCAUUCUUGGGUCUGAAGAGGUCAAACUCAAACAAAACACAGGCUGUCCCUUCUAGAGUUCUUCUGUAUGCCCCAUGCUGGUUAAGAAAACAAAUUGGAAAGUGAGGUUCAGGGUUGCCCAAGAAGCAUAAUUCCAGUGGUUUGGAGGAGAUUUAGGCCCUAUAACAACUAUGGGAUGGACUCAAUCGAGGUUUUUUAAAGAUUUUGAGUUGUUGGUAAAAUGCAUUGCUUCAUUCGAAUUAAGUCUUUGCUUACCUAAUUGUUUACAGAAAUCCACACAAAUGAGAUUAACAUAAAAAAAAAAAAGAAAGACAACAAGAUAAUUAAGUCUGAUUGCUCCAGAGCAGGUUGGUGACAGCCCUGGAAAUGUGCCAACACUAACUGGCUGGAGAUAUUUCCCAUACAGUUAAUUGCAAAUGGUCAUUGAAAGCCCUUGAAAUUAACUUAGGUCCCCUCAACUGAAGUGUGGAGAAGGGAUUUAGAAGUGUGAAGGAGACCAGGGUUUGGAAAGAGGACCCACCAGGGACAUCAGCGUCUUUCUGUCCCAGAGUCCUGUUCGACUAACAUCAUCAAUCUUGUCACUUCUCUGGGUCUUGGUCUUCUGAUCUGUACCAUGGACUUGGGGAGUGGGGGUGGGUAGAUCAUGUCAGUGCAGGAUGUCCUGACCUUCUAUGAUCCCCUCCAACUUGACUACACAAAGAUCAGCCCAUCCCCAGUCCAGCCUCUGGUCUGUGCAUCAGCUGGGCAGCUUUUCCUCACACAGAUAUGGAAGGACUUCUUCCUGCACACUAUUGGCUGGUAUCCUAGGAGCCUGCAAAUUACCUCAACAGGAAAAUAAACCUGGGGAGGUCUUUCCAAGUGCCUCAACAUCUCCAAGACAGGAGCUGCUGCAAAGAGAAGAAAAUAGAAUAGGCGUGUGAGCUAAGGAGAAAGGACCAAGUAUCACUGGUCCUUGAAAGAAUUCCACUUUCCUCCCCAGAACUUUGUGUCCCCCUAGGUCUCAGGUAAGUUAUGGGAUCCUGGAUCAGAGAGCAGAAUGGAACCACAAGAAUUUAUAUGUUCCAGAUCCCUAUGAUGAGGAUCUGGAGUCAAUAUCCCAAGGUCACAAACUGAAGCUCCAAAGUCAUUGGACCAAGAUUCUAUGGGAGGAGAGAAUUAGAACUCUGUGAGCAUUUCUGCCUCCUCAUGUUGGAUGUUUCCAUAUUUCAGAGGCUGAUGAGGGUGGCGGCCAUACAGGAGGCAAGAAGACGAGUUGUGUACACACCUAAGUUUGCUGCAUAUUCCUCUCUGAGAUGCAUUCUCACUCUGUGCAUCCAGGAUAAGCCUCUUUCCUGUCCUGACCCUGCCCAGCCCCAUUGCAUCCUGUGUGUCCUACAAGCAACCUUUGAGAAGUCAACCCCUGAGCUUGUUGCAAUACGAUUCUGCGCACUAUGCCAUGUCCUGCAAGUAUCUCUUCAUUAGAUUGAAGAUUCUCAAAGGUAAAGUCUCGCUGCCCCUAGUAAAGUCUAAUGUAUGUUACAGAUUCUCAGUACAUGUCUACUGAUUGAGCAAAUCAGUCAGAUGUUGUCCUAAGGUUUUUAAGCAGAAGGGAAAGAUAGCAGCAACUUGACAGGACCUGUUUCCAGAAGCAAUUCUCCCUCAAAAAGAUAAGAGGGAUAUUAA